rnacentral:rRNA from 1 species
AUACAGAGGGUGCAAGCGUUAAUCGGAAUUACUGGGCGUAAAGCGCGCGUAGGCGGUUUGAUAAGUCGGAUGUGAAAUCCCUGGGCGCAACCUGGGAACUGCAUUCGAAACUGUCUGACUAGAGUAUGGUAGAGGGUGGUGGAAUUCCUAGUGUAGCGGUGAAAUGCGUAGAUAUUAGGAGGAACAUCAGUGGCGAAGGCGACCACCUGGACCAAUACUGACGCUGAGGUGCGAAAGCGUGGGGAGCAAACAGGAUUAGAAACCCUAGUAGUCC